GUGAACGCUGGCGGUAGGCCUAACACCUGCCAGUCGCACGGCAGCACAGUAAGAGCUUGCUCUUACGGGUGGCGAGUGGCGGACGGGUGAGGAAUACAUCGGAAUCUACUUUUUCGUGGGGGAUAACGUAGGGAAACUUACGCUAAUACCGCACACGACCUACGGGUGAAAGCAGGGGAUCUUCGGACCUUGCGCGAUUGAAUGAGCCGAUGUCGGAUUAGCUAGUUGGCGGGGUAAAGGCCCACCAAGGCGACGAUCCGUAGCUGGUCUGAGAGGAUGAUCAGCCACACUGGAACUGAGACACGGUCCAGACUCCUACGGGAGGCAGCAGUGGGGAAUAUUGGACAAUGGGCGCAAGCCUGAUCCAGCCAUACCGCGUGGGUGAAGAAGGCCUUCGGGUUGUAAAGCCCUUUUGUUGGGAAAGAAAAGCAGCAGGUUAAUACCCCGCUGUUCUGACGGUACCCAAAGAAUAAGCACCGGCUAACUUCGUG
rnacentral:rRNA from 1 species